ensembl:lncRNA
UUGAAGGUGAAGUUGUUUUCCAGUGUGGGGAUUGGUUAGGGAUGCGGAAGUGACUGUGAGGGGGCGGGGAAAUAAACAAGAGCCCUAACGGUGACCAGCGAUGUGUUUUAGAAGUUAAACAAGUUGUUUAAAGUCCGAGUUUCUAUUAGUUAGAUUUGAUUAUUAAAUCUUUUUAUUUUGCCUCGCUGGAUGCGUAUAGUUGUGGACCGCAGAUGCACAGAUGUUGUUUUUAUUUUCAUUGAUCAAAACGGAGAUUCUGUGUGAGCGGGUUCAAGCUAACGGCUAGGCUAACCGCUAAAGCUAACGGCUAAGCUAACGGACGGGCUAGCGUCCUCACGGCCUGAGUGGACUUUUUAGCGGACAGACUGAGGUGUUUCUGGACCAGGAGUUACCUGCCGCCCCUCAGACCUGCGGUUCUUUUACCGGGACCUUGGAUUGUUUGUCGGCGGACCGCUGGCUUUCACACACCGGGCUGUGAACUCCGCUACGGGGAUCCUGUUGGCUGCUAACUGAGACAUUUGCUGACGGUGGAGGAGAUCAACUACUCCGUGGGCUGCUUCCUGUAAAUCACCGUGGGGUUUUCCACUCACGACCAUCUGGAGAUCAACUCACAGGCCUGCAACGUUUUGAGGUCUCCAGUGGAACGGUUCCACGACUACAGUGUCAGUGAUGUGACCUUCAACCCCCAUGGAGCUCCGCCUGCCUCCAGGAAGAAGCUUUUUCAACGUGACGUUCUGAAUAAACCAUCAGCGAUAAUCUCUCAUUUCUCCUCAAGAUAAAAAAACUCCUUGAUUCGUCUUCGGGGCUUUUUAUCGGCGCCGAGAGACAAACAGAAUGUGGAUGUUCAGCAGAAACUCCGUCUGAAUGGUUGUGAUCGUCCUCUGAGGAUGGGAGGUGUAAUCCGUCUGAAGGAGGAGGUUUAGGAGGACGUCAGGUGGCUCAGAUGGAGCUCCAGAUCUGCUGUUUGGCAGAAGAACCGAAGCGUCGGCCGUUUGGAGGUCAAGAGGUUGUUGGGCUGCUGGUUGGAACCAAACAGGAAGCACUCGAACCUCAGCGAGCAGAUUUAUCUCCAGUGCCAAGGCUUUGUCUGUUUCCAACACCAAUGACAAUAUAAACUGGAUAAAUCUGCCUUUCAUCAGGAUGAUCUGGGGCUGACGAAGAAGAAGCUUUUUCUGCUGUUAAAUCUGAAUAAACCCAGAAUAGACAGGAUUUAGUCUGUUAAAAAACGUUACAAGCAGCGAUGCCAGAAAACUUUAAAAACUGUGAAACUUACCGCAAACGUCUGUUAAAUAAAGAGAUUUAUAGCCGAUUUAAAUGCAGUAAAACUGUGUUGAUUUGACAAAUGACACUCAAAUGACAAAUUUUACAAAAUGUAAAGAAUCUGUUCAACAUAUUUCCAACGUCAGACAGAAAAGGAGGCCCACAUACUGUAGAUCUUCUUUCCAGAUGUCUCAAAAUCUGUUCAAAAUCACGUAGAACUGUCUAAAAUGACUCAGUUAUCCAGAAUGACUCUUUUUUCAGCCCAAAAUGACUUUAAACGUGACCAAAAUGAUGCAAAGCCUGUUCAAAGGGACUUAAAAUGAGUCCACAAUUACUUCAGAUUUGUCAUUUUUGUCAAACACCAACCAACACAGACACCAACCUUGUCUAAAAGGACUUGUCUAAAACUGUGACACUUACUGCAAAUGUCUGUUAAAUAAAG